AUAUAUUUUACGACUGACACGGAAGUAAACAAAUGAACACGUGAACGAUGGAGCCUGUUGAGUCAACCAAUUUUCACUCAAGAAAGCAAAACAGAUCUGACAUUUUAAAACAAUUCCAAUCGCGGUAUUUCGCUACCAGUCGCCUCGUUUCAUUCCCCUGGAGGCUUUUAGAAAAUGAGCUUGAACGCAGCAACUCAUCGGACGUCAUUUUAGAAAUCCUCAAACGGACGUGUCUUCACGCCCUGUGUCGUAAGUUUCCGCCGUCGCCGCGAUACAGGAAGUGCUUUCUCUCUGAGCUCAUAAAACGGGUGGAAGCCGCAGAGUGCGAACCUCUUGAUGAGCUCUAUGAUGCUCUGGCAGAGGUAGUGGCGGCCCAAGAUGUGGCAGAGGGAUACCGGACCUACUUACUGCCGUGCGGGAACAGCGUCAGCUUGUUGGAGAAUGUGGCUUUAAUCUCAGAGGGGACAACGGGCCUGGUGACAUGGGAGGCAGCCCUCUACCUAGCCGAGUGGGCCUUGGACCACGCGCAUAUUUUUGCUGGAAGGAAAGUUCUGGAGCUGGGCAGCGGUGCGGGUCUGACCGGCGUCGCUGUGUGUCAUUCGUGCGCUCCUUCCUCAUACGUCUUCAGUGAUUGUCACCAAAGUGUCCUCCAGAGACUUUGUGACAACUUGAGCAUCAACGGACUCCUCAACAACAAAACAAACACCAGUAGGACAGAAGUCAGAGUGCAAGAGCUGGACUGGACGGAUGUGACGGAGGAACGCUUGAAUGACGUCGGUGCAGACGUGGUCAUAGCAGCAGGUCCGACCCUCCGCAAUAAGGAUGGAAUGGAAAAGGCAGGAAAGAUGUGGUGUAUGAUCCUGACGUGAUUGCAGUUCUGGUCCAGCUUCUGUCCAAGAUCCUGAAGCGUGGUGGUGUUCGGGUCCCCUCUGAGGUUUUCAUCUGCUCUACUGUCAGGAACCCGCAGACGUACGCCGGUUUCAAGCACAGUCUAAGUGCUGCUGGGAUCGGCCACCGGGUGAUGAGUGGAGCUGUCAAUCACGUCUUUGAGUACAACAGAGAGUCUGAAAUCGAGCUUGUUCAAUUGUUUGCGUGUCAAUAAAGUUUUUUUUAUUUACAA